ensembl:lncRNA
GUCGAAAAGUCUUAAUUUACAUUUUAACUUUAAUUAAAUUACUCUAGCACAGUAGAUAUCAGUAAAGCAAUAGCACAAUAAACAAAAUAAAUAAUUCAUAUGUGGAUAAAUCUAAAGGUAAAACUGAUUUUAAAAGUAUUACACGUUCAAACACGGCCAGAAUGUGUGUGCAUUGAGAGGCACGUUUAAAUUCGGCAUCUUAACAUGAUGAAUCUGUCCGUCUAUACACAUAUGAGAAAUGGGGCUAAAACUAACACCUAAACACAGCCAGAAUGUAAUUGUCUACACAUAUAAAAUAAACAUGUUAAAAAUUGCUGCGUUGACAAAUUUCACGUGUCCCAUUUAAAGACUUUUGCCCCCAUCCACCUUCCAUACAUGAGUUCCUCCAGUAGUGGGCACUUGUGAAACGAAAACAAUGAAGUACAUCCGAGUCAAUGACAGGCUAGAAGUCAGCGAGGACAGUGCAUAAAAAGCUAUGUGGAAUUUUAGUGAACGUUUAUGAAAUUAUGAGAAAAGGGGAUUAUUGCUUUUCAGCAGCAACAAAUUAACGUGAUAUUAUUCACUACAGUGAACUCAACUCAAAUACACUGAACUGCAUGCAGUUACUUUAAGCACUAAGUAAUUAAGGACUGUUGGAUUAUAAUGCGUUAUUAUGAUUUACAUUACCAGUUUUGCCAUUCCACACCGUGACCCACAGACAGCAGCCAUGUCUUCUGGAGCAGCCCCUACAGUAGAAUCUGAUGCUGACUUUUACUAUGACUAUGAGAAUCUGCGCAUUGGAGGCCUGAUCUUUGCUGGGGUCAUUGUGGUACUAUCGGUCCUCCUCCUGACAGGUAACCGCAUCAGACGGUGUGGCAAGCGUAAGGCGAAGCAUGUGGAUGAAGAAAUUUAAGAUGGGUCAUUUCUAUACUGGAUGGAUUUAAGAUGUGAACGGCCUGUAAAUUUGGAAAAAGUCAUAUUAUUAUGUUUAACUUAACACUUACAUUUUUGAUUUAAUUGUUAAACACUUCAUUGAAACAUUGAUUUGGAAAAACUGUUUAGGUAUGGUGUUGAAGACUAAAAAAGGAUAUAUGGAGGUUAUUUUUCAUCAGACGUUUUGUUUUAUUUUAUAUAUAUAUAUAUAUAUAUAUACACACACACACACACAUACAUACAUACAUAUACAGACGGAAGAAUAGAAAGAAGAAGAUGUAAGGGAAUAAUUGACGACGGGCCACUUGAUUAUUCAAAAAAUAAUGCACACCUGAGGUGGUGAUGCAGCCAUGACGCGAAGCGGAGAUAUAUGAUAUAUUUCAAGGCAUCCAUCAGGUUUUUGUACUUAAAAUGCUCCUGUGAGUAGAAUAAAUCUCUUAAUCUCCUCA